GUCUGUAGGCUCAUUGCAAUCUCUUGAAGCCUAAUAUUGUGGGCCAGUGGAUUUGAUACUACUCGAUAUAGUGCCAGAGAAUCAAAGGGAUUGAGCUUCAAAAAAUAGAGAAAGCUCAAGCAGUUUUCCAUUGAUCUAUAGGGCCCUAAACAGAAUGGAGAAAGAAAAUUCAUGUAGCUGACACAGCUAGUUUGGGAUGAAGGCUUAGUUGAGUUGAGUUGUAUCAUUAUCCAUACGGCUCUUACCAUUUAUGAACUCAUAGAACUAUCAAAAGUGAAUCAAAUUCUAGAUAUACUCCUUAUAUUCAAACUCCUAUUACAAUAAGCUAAAAUUAAAUCAGACCCCUAACAUUCCCUUAAUCAAUUCCUUUUUAAGGAAAAAAAAACUGUAAAGAGUUUCCAAAACAGCACAGUGGUACUCCUAAUUAGAUUAGUAUCCCAUCAAGCUCAACAAGGUCAUUACCUACUGCAAGCAGAUGGUGGGAAGGGGAUCAACGUCUCCCUCAAGAUGCUUGCUCAAGAAAGCAAUAGAAGUCUCUUUCUUUUUCUUUUAUCUUCAAUUUGGCAAACUUGUUUAAGAAGAACUCUCAAAAAGUAUUUUCUUAUUAGGUUGAGAAUAACACUUCUUCAAUAAUC
rnacentral:lncRNA from 1 species